rnacentral:rRNA from 1 species
GACGAACGCUGGCGGCGUGCUUAACACAUGCAAGUCGAACGGGUCUGCCCUGUUUUUUGCGGGGUGGGUCAGUGGCGAACGGGUGAGUAACACGUGAGUAACCUGCCCCUCACUUCUGGAUAACCGCUUGAAAGGGUGGCUAAUACGGGGUGUUCUGGCUGUGCCGCAUGGUGUGGCUGGGAAAGAUUCACUUUUGUGGUGUUUUGGUGGGGGAUGGGCUCGCGGCCUAUCAGCUUGUUGGGGGGGUGAUGGCCUGCCAAGGCUUUGAGGGGUAGCCGGCCUGGGAGGGUGGGCGGUCACACGGGGGCGGAGAGGCGGCGCAGACUCCGGCAGGAGGCAGCAGUGGGGGGUAGUGCACAAUGGGCGGAAGCCUGAUGCAGCGACGUCGCGUGAGGGAUGGAGGCCUUCGGGUUGUGAACCUCUUUCGCCGGUGAAGAAGGUCCUGCUCUUUGUGGUGGGGUUGACGGUAGCCGGGUUAUGAAGCGCCGGCUAACUACGUG